rnacentral:rRNA from 1 species
AGCGAACGCUGGCGGCAGGCUUAACACAUGCAAGUCGAGCGCCCCGCCAGGGGAGCGGCAGACGGGAGAGUAACACGUGGGAACAUACCUUUUGGUUCGGAACAACUGAGGGAAACUUCAGCUAAUACCGGAUAAGCCCUUACGGGGAAAGAUUUAUCGCCGAAAGAUUGGCCCGCGUCUGAUUAGCUAGUUGGUGAGGUAACGGCUCACCAAGGCGGCGAUCAGUAGCUGGUCUGAGAGGAUGAUCAGCCUCACUGGGACUGAGACACGGCCCAGACUCCUACGGGAGGCAGCAGUGGGGAAUAUUGGACAAUGGGGGCAACCCUGAUCCAGCCAUGCCGCGUGAGUGAUGAAGGCCUUAGGGUUGUAAAGCUCUUUUGCCCGGGAAGAUAAUGACGGUACCGGGAGAAUAAGCCCCGGCUAACUUCGUG